rnacentral:lncRNA from 1 species
AUCGCUGUGCUCUUUAUCCCAUAAACUUAUACUUUAUUAUCAUUAUCUUUAUGGUUUACCCCCUGCUAAAGUAAGUGACUGUGUGACGAGUUUCUUAUUAGUAAUCAUGUUCUUGCAAGUUUAUCUCUAGUCUAUGCCUUGAUAGAUUUUGUUCCUUGAUUUAAUUCCAUCUCCUUAGAUCCCGAGAGCAAAAUUAUAAAUGACGAUACCUGGAAUACUUAUCCUGGUGAAAUACUACAAUGAGGUGUUUUAUCUGUGCGCUUGCGGAUAGAAUAGAUUAUUUUCUAGAGAGCCUUUACAUUUAUAAAUACCUUUGUACACUCUGGCGCCA